rnacentral:rRNA from 1 species
ACUAUGCCAAGUAGUAAACUUUAAUUUACACCUCAUCGCCAGGGAACUACAAGCCAAGCUUAAAACCCAAAGGACUUGACGGUGCCCCAUAUCCCCCUAGAGGAGCCUGUCCUAUAAUUGAUACCCCCCGCUAAACCUCACCAUUCUUAGCCUGUUCAGCCUGUAUACUUCCGUCGUCAGCUAACCACAUGAGUGAAAUUCAGUGAGCCCAAUGGCCCCCCCAAAAACGUCAGGUCAAAGUGCAGCAAAUAGAAUGGGAAGAGAUGGGCUACACUUUCUAAUUUAGAAGAUACGAAAGACUAUGUGAAACCUUAGUCAGAAGGUGGAUUUAGAAGUAAAAAGAAAUCAAAGAGUUCUCUUUAAUCUGGUACUGGGGUGUGUACACACC